rnacentral:rRNA from 1 species
CGCGUGCACUGGUCCGGCCGGGCCUUUCCUUCUGUGGAACCCCAUGCCCUUCACUGGGUGUGGCGGGGAAACAGGACUUUUACUUUGAAAAAAUUAGAGUGCUCCAGGCAGGCCUAUGCUCGAAUACAUUAGCAUGGAAUAAUAAAAUAGGACGUGUGGUUCUAUUUUGUUGGUUUCUAGGACCGCCGUAAUGAUUAAUAGGGACAGUCGGGGGCAUCAGUAUUCAGUUGUCAGAGGUGAAAUUCUUAGAUCUACUGAAGACUAACUACUGCGAAAGCAUUUGCCAAGGAUGUUUUCAUUAAUCAGAACGAAAGUUAGGGGAUCGAAGACGAUCAGAUACCCGUCGUAGUCUUAACCAUAAACUAUGCCGACUAGGGAUCGGACGAUGUUAUUUUUUGACUCGUCCGGCACCUUACGAGAAAUCAAAGUGCUUGGGCUCCAGGGGGAGUAUGGUCGCAAGGCUGAAACUUAAAGAAAUUGACGGAAGGGCACCACCAGGGGUGGAGCCUGCGGCUUAAUUUGACUCAACACGGGGAAACUCACCAGGUCCAGACACAAUAAGGAUUGACAGAUUGAGAGCUCUUUCUUGAUUUUGUGGGUGGUGGUGCAUGGCCGUUCUUAGUUGGUGGAGUGAUUUGUCUGCUUAAUUGCGAUAACGAACGAGACCUUAACCUGCUAACUAGCCCGUAUUGCUCAGGCAGUACGCCGGCUUCUUAGAGGGACUAUCGG